GGCUCUGUGGCGCAAUGGAUAGCGCCUUGGACUUCUAAUUCAAAGGUUGUGGGUUCGAGUCCCACCAGAGUCA